GGCGGCCGAGCCCGAGCGCGACUCCGGUGGGGCGCCAGAGGGAGGCGAGCCGUUCUUCGGCAGCCCGGGCAGCCUGACCCGGCCACCGAUCCACGCCGGCCGGACGGCAGGUGGUUCUUCAGCUUCCUUCCUUCCAGAGAGCCCAGCAAAGGAAAAAGUGAAUGAUUAUGAUGUAACUGAACCCAAGAGUCCAGCAGGGGAUCAGCCUAAUGUUUAUACACCACUGAAAGGUAACAACGCUAGUUUUGUCAGUGCCUUUCCUAUGAUGUAAUAAAUGAUUGCUUAAUUGUACUGAAAUGAUACCAAAGGAGGAGUUGAGCUGAAACCUGAAUGAAUGAAGAUGUUCAAAAUGGUUUUUUUGGGGGGGGGGGGGGAUUUGGGAGAGAUGAUAACUAACCACUUGAAGAAUGGGGGAGUGGUUUGAAAUUCAUGUGAUCAGUAAUUGUUUAAUCACACAGUUAAAUUCAUUGCUUGUGGGAGAACACUGAAAGCAGUUGUGAGUACAGACUGACAAAAGAUAGGCAUGAACCAGGUGGCAGGCCCUUCCUGUGAGAUGUGGUAGCUUUCUUCCUUUAUGGAGGGGUCUGAGAGGCUCACGUGGAGAUUGGUUUGGGAGUACACUGUGUACUCCUUCCCUGAUAAGCUCUGAAG
rnacentral:lncRNA from 1 species